UUCGCCGCCCGUGUCUGAACACGUCCAAACAUGUUCAAACACGUCUUAACAUGUUCAAACACGUUCAAUGACGUCAUAGAGAGUGAGAGGCAAAGCUUUACUAUAAAUGUCGAAGCGAAUGGUCGAUCGUCAUUCCAUCAUGAUCAGCUUGGUAGAUCCUCGUAAGUAAUACCCAUGACGUCAUCAUCGCCGAAAUGUUUGAAGAGUUUCGUUUCCAGUGUACAACACUUUUGCUGCGCGUGAAGUCGGUUUUUUCCCGCCUCACAUAUUUCGGGAGAUUGGCAGCGCCCGCUUCUUCUGUACCAAUUGUGGUGGAUUGUGGUCCAAAGAGCAAAAGCAUUGGACGGACCGAUUGAUUCGCCCGUUUCUCGGCUGUCGGACGGUACCGUUCGACGUACGUUGCGAAGGACUUCGACUAUUGAAGGAAGAUGGAGAAGAUGGACCAUCAGUGUCACUCUGUGACUGAAGAAGAUUAUUACGAAUGGCUACUGACGGGAGAUCUACCCCUGGUCCUAACCUUCAAGCCUCCUCCAAAGACCUUCUUUUUGCGAAUCGGCGAUCAACUGACUACCUGUCGUUGCGGUGGACUCUGGUCGAGAAACCCCAGCCAUUGGUUAGACUCGAGCCUUCGUCCGUAUUUGGGCUGCCUUCCCGGCUACGAAACCAA